UACGUAGGGGGCAAGCGUUGUCCGGAAUCAUUGGGCGUAAAGAGCGUGUAGGCGGCCAGAUAAGUCCGCUGUGAAAUCUCGAGGCUCAACUUCGAGCUGUCGGUGGAAACUGUCUGGCUAGAGUCCGGAAGAGGAGAAUGGAAUUCCCGGUGUAGCGGUGGAAUGCGCAGAUAUCGGGAGGAACACCCGUGGCGAAGGCGGGUCCCUGGGACGGUACUGACGCUGAGACGCGAAAGCGUGGGGAGCGAACAGGG
rnacentral:rRNA from 1 species